GAACGACGAUCGAUGGAUCUCGAGACAGAAGCCAACAAAGCUGGUACUGACGAGGGCAUGCAGGUUUGUUUAUGGUGGUCAAGCGCAGUUUUUUAAUGGUGAGACCCGUUCGGAACCAAGGCAUUGAAACAAUGGUGUUGCUGAUAGUGUUGGUGAGAAUUGCGACGCCUCACAGUUCCUAGCGGGAUGGCAUCGACCAACUUUGCGGAUAAUAAUUGACUUUCUCUGCUUUUCCUGGAUGUAUGGGAGGAUGAUAAUAAUUGAUUUAUCUUCAAUGAUUUUAUCUCUUUGUUC